CAGCAACUCGAUGACGCAGCAGCAACAGAGGCCUGUGGAACGAUUGCUGGGCUGAGAGAAUAACAGAGAGACGCUGCUUUGGCCCAGCCUUGACACUCAAACACACACACUCACACACACACACACAACGGCACAAAGGAAGUAGAGAGCAGCUGAUCUGGCCCUGAAGGAGAAACUGUGCUGCAGAGGCUCUGUCCUUCGCUCUCCUCUCAACCAUGGCAGAACAAACUGAUCUCACCCUGGGCCAGACUGUUUACAUCUACUGCUGCUCAAAUAUGGAAGAGGAGGAGGAAUAGAUCAGGACUGGAUCACGUACCGAGUUCUGCUGCAUGAUGACCACCAGAGGGCACAUCAAUGUAGCUCCUGACGCACAUUUAUUAAUCGCACCAACAGGGACCAGAGGAAAGACGAUCUCGAUUAUGAGGAGCGGUAUGAACAAACAUCAGGUCAGUCUGCCUCCUGGGGUGCACACGCACUUGAAAUAGAUAGUGAGAAGCAGAAAUGGGUCAGUUUGCUAGGAUGGACUUUCAAGGAAGGUGCAGAAUCUGACCUUUGUUCAUUUCCUCAUUGUGCUACUAUGUACAUUAGUCAGCCAAAGAGUCAAACAAGUGUCAUGCACUUGGAUGCUGACAAAAGACAAAUUUCAAAG
rnacentral:lncRNA from 1 species